UGGGCAAUGGAGGCAACUCUGACCCAGCCAUGCCGCGUGCAGGAAGANUGCCCUAUGGGUUGUAAACUGCUUUUAUAURGGAAUAAACCNCUCUACGUGUAGARAGCUGAAUGUACUAAACGAAUAAGCACCGGCUAACUCCGUGCCAGCAGCCGCGGUAAUACGGAGGGUGCNAGCGUUAUCCGGAAUCAUNGGGUUUAAAGGGUCCGCAGGCGGACGUAUAAGUCAGUGGUGAAAUCCUGCAGCUUAACUGCAGAACUGCCAUGGAUACUGUACGUCUUGAAUYCGGUCNAAGUGGGCGGAAUGUGUAGUGUAGCGGUGAAAUGCNUAGAUAUUACRCAGAACACCGAUAGCGAAGGCAGCUCACUAGGCCUGGAUUGACGCNCAGGGACNAAAGCGUGGGGAUCNAACAGGAUUAGAUACCCUGGUAGUCCACGCUGUAAACNAUGAUUACUCGUUUUCGGCRAUAUACAGUCGGARACUAAGCGAAAGUGAUAAGUAAUCCACCUGGGGANUACNAUCGCAAGGU
rnacentral:rRNA from 1 species